rnacentral:rRNA from 1 species
GGAUUAGGCAUGCAAGUCGGACGGUAGGACUUUAUCGUAAGAUAGAGUUUGAGAGUGGCGAACGGGUGAGUAAUACGUAGGAAUCUACCCUUAAGACGGGGACAACUCAGGGAAACUUGGGCUAAUACCGGAUGCGAGUGUAUGAGAGUACAUUUAAAAGGAUGGUGAAAGCUAUCGCUUAGGGAUGAGCCUGCGGUCUAUUAGCUAGUUGGUGGGGUAAGAGCUCACCGAGGCGAUGAUAGAUAGGCGGCCUUAACGGGUGGUCGCCCACACUGGGAUUGAGAUACGGCCCAGACUCCUACGGGAGGCAGCAGUCGAGAAUAGUCUACAAUGGCCGGAAGGCUGAUAGUGCGACGCCGCGUGAACGAGGGAGCCCUUCGGGGUGUAAAGUUCUUUUCUAUACGAGCAGUGCUAUAUAUAUUCAAAGUAUAUAUAGAGGGAUAGUAGUAUAGGAAUAAGCAACGGCUAACUCCGUGCCAGCAGCCGCGGUAACACGGGGGUUGCGAGCGUUGUCCGGAAUUACUAGGCGUAAAGGGCAGGUAGGCGGAUCUACGAGUUUUUUGUUAAAGGCUACGGCUCAACUGUAGUAAGGCAGGAGAUACUGUAGGUCUGGAAUGCGGUAGGGGAAGACAGAAUUCCUGGUGUAGCGGUGGAAUGCGCAGAGAUCAGGAGGAAUACCGAAGGCGAAGGCAGUCUUCUAGGCCGUAAUUGACGCUUAACUGCGAAGGUGUGGGGAUCAAACAGGAUUAGAUACCCUGGUAGUCCACACAGUAAACGAUAAUCACUAGAUGUCGGGUUCUAUAUGGAUUCGGUGUCGGAGCUAACGCGAUAAGUGAUUCGCCUGGGGAGUACGAUCGCAAGGUUGAAACUCAAAGGAAUUGACGG